AUGUGUGUGUGUGUGUGUGUGUAUGUAUUGUAUUUUAACGUGUAUAAGGAACCCCCUAAUUUUGGGGGUUUAAAAUUUGGAGAAAAGGUUUUGUAAGGGACUAUAAUACUAUCCAAGUAUAAGAAACACCCAUAUUUUUUUAACCUAAUUUUUGACAAAAAAGGGUUCCUUAUAUAUGUUAAAAU